rnacentral:rRNA from 1 species
ACUGCCUGCCCAGUGACAAAAGUUUAACGGCCGCGGUAUACUGACCGUGCAAAGGUAGCAUAAUCACUUGUUCUUUAAUUAGGGACUAGAAUGAAUGGCCUAACGAGGGUUCAACUGUCUCUUAUUUCUAAUCAGUGAAAUUGACCUUUCCGUGAAGAGGCGGAAAUACAAAAAUAAGACGAGAAGACCCUAUGGAGCUUUAAUUAAUUAACCUAAUUUAAAGAAAUUAAAUCUAAUGAAUUAAAACACAAAAAUAUAGGUUAACAAUUUCGGUUGGGGUGACCUCGGAGAAUAAAAAAUCCUCCGAAAGAUUUUAACUAAGACUAACAAGUCAAAGUAAGUAAUAUAACCUAAUUGACCCAAUAAUUGAUCAACGGACCAAGUUACCCUAGGGAUAACAGCGCAAUCCUAUUCAAGAGUUCAUAUCGACAAUUAGGGUUUACGACCUCGAUGUUGGAUCAGGACAUCCCAAUGGUGCAGCAGCUAUUAAUGGUUCGUUUG